UGGGGAAUAUUGGACAAUGGGCGCAAGCCUGAUCCAGCAAUGCCGCGUGAGUGAUGAAGGCCUUAGGGUUGUAAAGCUCUUUCGCACGCGACGAUGAUGACGGUAGCGUGAGAAGAAGCCCCGGCUAACUUCGUGCCAGCAGCCGCGGUAAUACGAAGGGGGCUAGCGUUGUUCGGAAUUACUGGGCGUAAAGGGCGCGUAGGCGGCCUGUUUAGUCAGAAGUGAAAGCCCCGGGCUCAACCUGGGAAUAGCUUUUGAUACUGGCAGGCUUGAGUUCCGGAGAGGAUGGUGGAAUUCCCAGUGUAGAGGUGAAAUUCGUAGAUAUUGGGAAGAACACCGGUGGCGAAGGCGGCCAUCUGGACGGACACUGACGCUGAGGCGCGAAAGCGUGGGGAGCAACAGGAUUAGAUACCCUGGUAGUCCACGCCGUAAACGAUGAAUGCUAGACGUCGGGGUGCAUGCACUUCGGUGUCGCCGCUAACGCAUUAAGCAUUCCGCCUGGGGGAGUACGGCCGCAAGGUUAAAA
rnacentral:rRNA from 1 species